UGGACAGACGUUCAACACUGUGUUGUCUCGCAUAUUAAACUUUUAGAUCAUGGUCUCUUUCAGCAACUGUUAGAUUUUAUUUUCCGAGAAUGUUAAAAUGUGAUGGAUAUUUUGAGUAAGUUUUAAUGGGGUAAGUUGUGAUUAAGCGAAACUUUAGUGAACAUCUUUAAUUCAAUUUGCACCAUUGGUGACGUAAAUUAAGCGUCGUUUCAGUAUUGACGUUGUUGCUACCGACAAUUAAUAAAAUAUAUAAAUUCUGUUCCCGACUUUUGUUGAUGUAAUUUGUACAUCGACGACCAUUCUGGAACAGUCUGGUGUCCUGGGUCCAACCUAUUAACAAUUGUAAACAACUUUUAAUUCGUUUUCUCUUAACACCGUUGAUGACAAAACUUCAUCACUGAAAUGGUUCCAUGUCGGCAGUUAAUAAAACACAACUAUAAAAUCUGUUCCUGACUUCGGUUGGCGGAGUGCAGAAAAGUAGGACGUUAAACUCCAUUUCAUUUCAUUUCGGUUGAUGAAUUCACACAUGAAGUUAAAGGUACUCUUAGUUUGCGCCAGAACACUGUCUUCUGGAAAAUCGUGUGGUACCAUUUGCCGAUAACGAUGUAUACUUCAAGAAUGAUAUUUUGAUUGUUGUAUUAACAAACUAUUAGCGCGAAAUUUGGAAAGGCUUUUCUAAAUAAAUUGACUUCUAUUUGAUUUUAAGAUUCUGCUUGAAUUCUCAUGAAUAAAUUGACUUUAAAACUGAUUGAAUUCUCGUGAAAAACUUUUCCUAAUACAAUGAUUUCGAUUAUUUGAGAAGAGUUUAACAUUGUGCUUGAUUUCCCACGUCACCGGACCUUUAAGACUGUUCUAGCUUGGCAUUGUGGGGUGUAAUUCUAAUAUGGAACUGGUGAUUGUGUAAAUGAUCAGCUGUCGUAUUGACUGGCUGGAAAGCUCCUUUAUACCACAAAUCGUCUUAAAACAGUAAUUACCAGGACAAGUAGAAUUGCAUGUCAUGAAUGUUUGAUACAUUGAUUACGGAUAACACAACAGUUACAACAGGAGACUACGCAAUACAAUGUUCAGGAAUCACAAUGGAAGCUAUACGUGUAUUAACUUGGGCGGAGUUUAAAGCCUCGCCGGGGCGUUUACAUAGAUUUUUCUCUGAAGUGAGUGGCUGUAUUCAGUUUGAUCGACAGCUCGUUCUUGACCUCUCGGAUCUGACCCCUGAUAAGGAUAUCAGGGUCCAAGUGCAAAAAAAUGAGACAGUUAUUUUAGUGAGAUCUACUUUAGAAAUGGCGGAGGUCAUAAAGGAAAUGAUGACGAAAUUAUUGCUCAUGCGUAUUACUGUGAUACACACUGAAAUAGCCAGUAAAUACAGUGUGGAGAAGGUUUCCAUAUUGGAAGAUGAUUUUGCCGUCCUUAUUAAUACGUCACAUCCGUCCUUGAGAAAACAACUGAGUCAUAGUUUACAGGAAGCUGCUGUCCAUACUGCUAAAAACAGACGAUUCUGUCUUGAG